rnacentral:rRNA from 1 species
GUGGGGAAUAUUGGACAAUGGGCGAAAGCCUGAUCCAGCCAUGCCGCGUGUGUGAAGAAGGUCUUCGGAUUGUAAAGCACUUUAAGUUGGGAGGAAGGGCAGUAAGUUAAUACCUUGCUGUUUUGACGUUACCGACAGAAUAAGCACCGGCUAACUUCGUGCCAGCAGCCGCGGUAAUACGACGGGUGCAAGCGUUAAUCGGAAUUACUGGGCGUAAAGCGCGCGUAGGUGGUUUUGUAAGUUGGAGGUGAAAUCCCCGGGCUCAACCUGGGAACUGCCUCCAAAACUGCAUGACUAGAGUACGGUAGAGGGUAGUGGAAUUUCCUGUGUAGCGGUGAAAUGCGUAGAUAUAGGAAGGAACACCAGUGGCGAAGGCGACUACCUGGACUGAUACUGACACUGAGGUGCGAAAGCGUGGGGAGCAAACAGGAUUAGAUACCCGGGUAGUCC